AAUCAACGCUGGCGGCGUGCCUAACACAUGCAAGUCGAACGCGAAAGGGGCUUCGGUCCUGAGUAGAGUGGCGAACGGGUGAGUAACGCGUGGGUGAUCUACCUUUGAGUGGGGGAUAACGUUCCGAAAGGAGCGCUAAUACCGCAUGAUGUUCUGGGUUUAAAGACCUGGAAACCAAAGCCGGGGACCGCAAGGCCUGGCGCUUGAAGAGGAGCCCGCGUCCGAUUAGCUAGUUGGCGGGGUAACGGCCCACCAAGGCGACGAUCGGUAGCCGGCCUGAGAGGGCGGACGGCCACACUGGAACUGAGACACGGUCCAGACUCCUACGGGAGGCAGCAGUGGGGAAUUGUUCACAAUGGGCGCAAGCCUGAUGACGCAACGCCGCGUGGGGGAUGAAGGUCUUCGGAUUGUAAACCCCUGUCGAACGGGACGAAAGACCCGGGAGCUAAUCAUCCCGGGAGUGACGGUACCGUUAAAGGAAGCCACGGCUAACUCUGUGCCAGCAGCCGCGGUAACACAGAGGUGGCAAGCGUUGUUCGGAAUUACUGGGCGUAAAGGGCGCGUAGGCGGCCAUCUAAGUCAGACGUGAAAUCCCCCGGCUUAACCUGGGAACUGCGUCUGAUACUGGACGGCUUGAGUAUGGGAGAGGGAUGUAGAAUUCCAGGUGUAGCGGUGAAAUGCGUAGAUAUCUGGAGGAAUACCGGUGGCGAAGGCGGCAUCCUGGACCAUUACUGACGCUGAUGCGCGAAAGCUAGGGGAGCAAACGGGAUUAGAUACCCCGGUAGUCCUAGCCCUAAACGAUGAAUGCUUGGUGUGGCGGGUAUCGAUCCCUGCCGUGCCGAAGCUAACGCAUUAAGCAUUCCGCCUGGGGAGUACGGUCGCAAGGCUG
rnacentral:rRNA from 1 species